rnacentral:rRNA from 1 species
UACGGAAGGUGCAAGCGUUAAUCGGAAUUACUGGGCGUAAAGCGCGCGUAGGCGGAUUAGAAAGUUGGGGGUGAAAUCCCGGGGCUUAACCCCGGAACUGCCCUCAAAACUGGCAGGCUUGAGGCCGGGAGAGGAGAGUGGAAUUCCCAGUGUAGAGGUGAAAUUCGUAGAUAUUGGGAAGAACACCAGUGGCGAAGGCGGCUCUCUGGACCGGUACUGACGCUGAGGUGCGAAAGCGUGGGGAGCAAACAGG